AGAAAAUCGACUUUAGAUAGUUUCAAAUAAUAUUAUAUACUGCAAUCAAAUUCAUACGCCAGUUAGUGUAAAUAAAACUCUUAUCGUCACAAUGUUAUGAUUGACUAUAUGUAUAUUUGUAGAUAUAAAAGCAGACAUUUUCCAUACCAAUAAACUUGCUGUGAUUAUAAUACGUUAAUAUGGAUUUUUUUCUUAAAGUAUAAUCAUUUUUAUGUCAGCAGGAUUUAAUAUUAAAAACUUAGAUUAAAUCUAUUAUAAUUAUUAAUACUUUGUUAUUUCCAUAAUACUAAUCCGGUAGGAAGAGAGGAUAAAAGAAAGAUUGAAAGUUUGCAAAAAUUAUGUCUGUUAAAUUCAAAACGCAUCUUUAUAAGAAAAAGCAAAUUAUAAAUUGGUGAGUAUUUUUUUUUAAUAAAUAUAAAAAUUAUCGAAAUCCGCUUUAUCAUUAGGCGAAGGGGAUCUAUGUAACCUCAACUUUGUGAUAAGUAUAUAUGAGAAAAGAGAAUUUUCCAAAAAUUCGUCGUCGGCUUGAGUCACAGUCGAUAUAUACAGUCGGGAAUUUUCAAAUUAAUAAAUAAUUAUCUAUAUAUUAUAUGCAAAUUUGUUGGAAUUGUGGCCAUUGGUCUUAUUAUUAAAAAUAUGUAUAAUUACAUGAUUUUUUGUUGUAAUAUAAAAACACUUUCAAAUUUUUUUUUAUCUUACCCAUAUGGGUCUUAAAGUAUACGAUUUAAAAUUUGCUUCAUUUUUUUCAUUUCGUAAUUACAUAAAAAAUGAAAUAAUAGAAAUUAUAUUUUCACUAUACAAUAAGUUCUUUUCAAAAAUAAAUAAUUAUUAUUGUCUAACUGCGAAAAACAAUUUAAUUUCUAGACACCAUUUUUUGCGGCCAGGGAAAAAUGGAUAUUCCGUAAGCGGACGCAGGUUUAUGCCUUGUUAGAUGGACGCAAGAUUGUUAUAUAAAAAAUUGGAGAGUUUUCACAAGUUGUGUAGAAAAUACUAAUCUUAAAAAAAAAGACAAGAGAAAAUUUUUUUGAGGAGGUGAGUGUUACGUAUGAAUUUCGUAACUUCUUAUUAAUAAAUUAUUAACAUUAUUAAUAAUUCAUUAAUACAAUACUUUAAAAAGAGGGACACAAAUAUGCAACUCAAGCAAAUAACACUUUAUAAACAUUACAAGAAAUGCCUUUGGAAUCUCUGAGCGAUGUCCAAAUAAUUAUAUAUUAAAUAUUAACUUUCAAUCAAUAACCUAAAUUAUAAAGAAGACCUAUUUAAAUUCAUGAUAAAAUUGAGAAACUAAGUGAACUAAAUUAACUCAAGUAACAAAGGAUGGCGCAAUAAAGAUUGCUGCAUCCAAAGUAUGUCAGUACAGAAAGAACGGGAAUACUACCCCAAUAUUGCAAGGUUGCAAUAAAGAACAUUGGCAACAAUAAGUUACCAAAUAAAACAUACUUUUUCCCACCAAAGAUCAGCUCAAUAAAACCAGUAGACACAGGGAGUGUCAGUUAGUUAGGAGUCGAGUGAGCUCAGAGUGGAGCUUGGAGUUUGUGAGAGUUUUGAGUUGGAGUUUUGAGUCUCUGAGUUGAGAGACUUUUUGAAACAAACCUCUAGUUCGAGGUUGUUUCCAUUUGGAGUUUUAUUGAGUUUUAUCUGAGUUUGAUUUUUGAGUUGAGAUUAUUUAAAGUAUUUAUUUUUGAAUUGAGAUUUUUGACAAAAAGAGUAUUUAAUAUUGAAUUGUGAAUUGAUUUAAGAAUAUUGAGUUUUACAAAGAAUUGAUAAUUGAAGUAGUUGAAUAAAGAGAACCUGAUUUUUGAGUUUGAUUUAAAGAGUAUAUAAAGGAGUUUCUUUUGAGAUCACUUAGUUUUGAGAUUUAGAGUGAAAAUAAAUAGUAAUUGAGUUUAUGUUUUCUAUUGAGUUUUGUUUACCAUUAAUUGAUUGAGUUAAAGAGAAUACUAAAUAAUUGUAAUAAGUUGAAGAAUUGAAUUGAGACACGAGGAAUUCCAAAAGGUAAAUAUACGUAAGAGUUCAGAGACUCUUGACACAAUACACACACAACAUUAUUACACAUACAUACAUUCACACGUAAAUUGUAUUAGAAUACAGAAUACUAUAAUAUUGUAUCAUUUGAGCUAUUACACAAUAUAUAUUUAUAUACUAUUAAUUAAAUAUUUGUUUGAUCUUUUAUUUAAAUCAUUCCUAACCAAUUGUUCUGAUUAAUAUGGAUUCUCAACCAACUCACUGAAUAAUAGUGAGGUAAGGAAGGGAUCCACUACCUUUUACAAUAUAAUUUGUCCGAAGGGCAACGUGUGUUAAAGUACCAAAGUCUUUUAGAGUUUUAGAAAAUAUCAAUCUUUGAUUGAUAUUGAAUAAUUUUCUAAUUUCCAAAAUUCAUCUUUAACAGUGAGUGUUUAUGUCCCACACGUGUGGGACAAUAAAUAAAAUAAUAAUAAAAUUUGAUUCAUUUUUAAAAAACGUUUUGUGAUAAAAAAGUAUUGAAUUUUCCAGAUGAUAGAAUUCAUUUUUCAAAAAUCCUUUUGAUUGAAAAGUAUAAGAAUUUUAGUGGAUGAAUUUGAUUCAUUUUAAAAAAAAUUCUUUUGAUAGAAAAGUAUUAAAUUUUACAGAUAUGAUAGAAUUUGAUUGAUUUUGCAAAAAAUUUUUUGAUUGCAAAGUAUAAGAAUUUUAGUGGAUAGGAUUUGAUUGAAUUUCAAUGUAAUCCUUUUGAUAGAUAAGUAUUACAUCUUUAAGCAGAUAGAAUUUGAUUGAUUUUUUAUAAAAUUCUAUUGAUAGAAAAGUAUUAAAUUUUACAGAUGAUAGAAUUUGAUUCGUUUUUCAAAAAUCCUUUUUAUUAAAAAGUAUAAGAAUUUUUAGUGUAUAGAAUUAUAUUGAAUUUUGAUACAAAAACUUUGAUAGAAAAGUAUUGCAAUUUCAUUUUGUAUUAAUUUUGAUAGAUACUUUUUCAAAAUGUAUGAUAGAGAUGGAUUGGAAUUUUAUCUUCUUAUUGAAAACGAUUGAAAUUUCACAAUUUGAUUAAAAUUGAUUGAAAUUUCAAUUCUUGACAUAUAGAAAGUCUAUCAAAUCCUAUGCUUUUUGUUUGUGUCGAUGUUUAAAUGUCCACAUGAAAAGAAUAUUUACACGAAACUUUGAAGAAAUAUUACACUGUAAAUAUUCACGUGCAAUGUUCAGUUAAUGUUGUGUCAAUAUUCACCUAUUGGGAUCUGAAAUCAUAGGGAAUUAUGGGGAAACUGACCUCGUUGCGUCAGCCAUCUUGAUUUAUUAUCUCUUUCUUCUACAUAUAUUUUAAAAAGGAUGAAACGAGAAAUGGCUGACACAACGAGGUCGUCACCAGAUGGCGUAUCGCAGUAUUUCAGAUCCCAAUACUUAUUAUAUUAGUAAAUGAAAAUUUUAUAACUAGGCGAAAAUGUAAUUUCAAUAUUGACACAACAUUGACUGAACAUUGCACGUAAAUAUUUAUGUGUAAUAUUUCCUCAAAGUUUCGUGUGAAUAUUCUUUUCAUGUGAACAUUUAAACAUCGACACAAACUUGUAUGAACCUUGCCACUAAAGUUUCCUAACCUCGCCAUGUGAGGUUCUGUCAAGUUACAGGGAAUUUUGGGUGCUGUGUGGGGUGAUUAACAUAUGGAAUUAUUAACAUUUCUGGUGUUAUCAAAUUAUAAGUUACAGUUUAAAUACUUCUUUAUAGGUUAAAAGGCGCAUUCUCUUAAAUGAAUAAGUGGAAUUGGUGAACAAAACAUUACAAGAGAAUAAUGCAUCUAUUAUAUUCAUGAAGCUUCACUCCCGGAGGACGAUGCGUUUGAACUGGAAAAUGAAGCUACACUCCCAACACAGAAAAAAACUGAACUCAGAAUGAGCCGUAUAGGCGGCUCAUUUUGAUGUGCAACAAAAAUGAACCAGGUUGGUGGCGCCACUGUCUAUGUCGUUUAGCAUUGGCUCAUUUUGAUUUGCAACAAAAAUGAGACUAGGUUUUUUCUGUGAAAGGGCGAGGCGUUUCAACUGGAAAACGAAGCUGCAUUCCUGGAGAACGAAGAUUUCUUAACAGAAGAAGAAACUGCACUACCUAAAAACCAAACGUUUUUACCGGAAAAAGUUCCAUUUUCUCAGAAUAAAGCAUCAUUUUAAGAUCAACGCGUAAACUGUAAUGUUUUUCCACCAAUACAAAAAAUGCGAGAGGAAGACCAAAACAUUCAUUAACAACACCAAUAGGUCUUCAAAAAAAAAAAAAAUAAAUAAAAUCGAUACAAAAAAAUGUGAUAUUAUUUUUUUCGCAAACGAAUACAAGAAGACAAAAUAAAAUUAUUAAGUCCCGGAAGAAAUUGUUGAAAAAUCCCUACAUGGAAAUAAAACUGAUGAGGAAUUUGUUGAAAUAAUAUCAGAAAGAUUAAGUUUUGCACCAUUAUUAAUGAAGAUGUUGAUGCUAUGCAGCAAGUAAAAAGCAGCACGAAAAAUCUAAUAAUAAAAACAUCUGGUGUGAUUCUUUCUUAGAGCGGAUUCACCAGGUGUGCGUAAAUUUAAAGAAAUCACAAAAGACUGUAAACUGGUUUUGUUCAGAUUGUUUCACAUAAAUGAAAGAUUAUUUUUUGAUGGAAAAUUUAAAUCAGUCUGCUGUGCGAAUUAUUCUAGAUAAUUAUAAAGAUGUAAAGAUCCAUUUUGAAGAAAAAGAACUUCAUUUUUCUGGUUUUAAUCACAGAAACAGUGAAUGACCUUAUUUUCUUAGUAGAGAAAUUAGAUGAAUUGCAUGAAGUGCCCUCGACCAAGGUUAUUAUAAUCUUUCUUCUCAUAUAACACACGAAGUAAGAAUAAGGAGUCUGCACUCCAUGCGUGGAUUGGAGGAAAAAUGUCCCCAAAUCUGGUAAAAGUAUUCCGGAAAAUUAGAAUAGUCGGAGGUGGCGUUCGUAACGGAAAAAUCCUUAAACUAUUGAUUUCCCUAAUGAAAGUCGUCUGCUAUUUUUCAAAAGUAUAUUAUAAAAUCAUAUAAUUCCAUAUUUUUUAAAAAUUAAGUAAUUGAAUAAAUAGUAAAUAUUAAAUAUGAAAUAUUAUUUGUAUUUUAAAAGUCAUUUACAAAUUAAUUAAUUUUAUUAAUUUUAAUGAAGUUCUUUAAAAAUUCACUAACUUUAAACUUCUUUUUAAUACACAUUCUUUAACAAACAAUUAUUGUUUUUUUUGUUUCUACAGUAAUCUGUAUCUAUUUAAUUGUAAAAAAAGUUUCCAUUAAAAUCUCUUAAAAUUGAAUUAAUUCGAUCUAAAAAUCUUGCGAUAUGACUUUUACCAGAUUUGGGGACAUUUUUCCUCCAAUCCACGCAUGGAGUGCAGACUCUUUAUUCUUACUUCGUGAUAUAACAUUAAUUAAAGCGAUUUUUGUGUUAUUUAAGCCAUUAUUAAUUUCUACGGGGUGAAAAUUGCAUUGGUUUUGCAAAGAAAAAAAAGCCAGGUACCUCAGGUCCACAACGCACCGAAAUCGCAGUAAGAAAGAUUUAAAGGAAAAGAAAGUUUAAAAGUCGAGAAUACCAAAUUAAAUACAAAUUUGAAAAUUAAAAUUGAAGCCAAUAAGCGUCUUGUUAAAAAAGGUAAAAAAUGAAAGAUCGUCUGGAAUUAUUACGAAAAACAAUGUGCUGAAAUUGUGGAGGAUAGUUUGGUAAAAGCAAUAGGAAAACUAUCCGCAAAUGAACAAUUGGCAUGAGAUUGGAAUGAGAUACAGUCGCCAGUGGGUUAUAAAUGUAUUCUUUCCAGAAUAAAAAGCACCUCAGAAAGAAGAAGGUGCUUGCAUUGCCUUCAUUUCGAACACUUCAUAGAUGCAUGAAGCGAAUGAAAAGCGCUUUACGGCUUUCAAAGUUAACGUUUUCGAAGCAUUAAAAUUGAAACAGAGAAAAUAAAUUUCAAAGACAGAAACGGAGCUAUUCUUAUCGAUGAAAUGAAGUUAUCGAAAGGCGUUAGCGUACAAGCCUGUCGAAGAAAAUCUCACAAACGCAGAGAAUCGAACUUACAACAUGACGAACGCAAACCGAAUAUCUAAGCCUCUAUCUAGACUAACCUGAGAUCGUAAAAACAGAAUACGGUUUUAUGAAAAUAGAAGAUCUUGUUGAGGCGUAUUUGAUUUUAACGCUUCUGUUACACGCCAAAUUACUAUUGUGUAACUAAUUUGAGGAAAGCUUGUUAGGAUGAAAAAGUAACGUGAAACAAAUUUUUAAUAUUAACAAUGAUGUAUUUAUUUUAAUUGUAUAGAUAUUGAUCUGUUUAUAAACUUCACUUAUUUGUUAUGUAUGUAUGUAAAAUUCGCGACGGAGUUUUCAACAAGAAGUUUGGUUUGAAUUUAAAUAUUUCAUCUUGUACAUUCAAUCGCCGUGGUAGAGGAAAUUUUGGAAAAUAUUUAGAAAGGGAAAAAAGAAGUGUUUUUAUCAUAUUAGAGAAUUUUGAUUGGUUUUUAAACAUUCUAUUGAAAUUUGAAGGGAAGGUAGAGUGGAGGUAGGAAGAUGCUUGGUAGAUGGUCAUCUGACUGCACGUAGCCUUGGGGUAAUUACUACAUUUGCUAAAAUUUGGUUUUUAUGAAUUGUGUCCCUUUUUUAUGAUAUGGUCCAACUUAUCGUAUUGGUACCCGGAUUAAGAUAUAAAGUGUGCAAGUUUAUUGUCAUAAUCCCUUGCUUCAUUCAAACUUUCUUAAAAAUACAUAUUUUCAAACUUU